AGUGUGUACCCUCCCUUUCCUCUUUUCUUUAUUCAUUGCUAAGUCCUUGUGUUUGCCAUUGCUACUGCCUUUGUACCUUUUGCUACUUGCUACUGAUUAUUUUAUAAAAAUUUGGGUUCUAUGUGUUUGCUCUGUUGCCUUUUUUUGGUUCUUACUUGUUUGACCACACAUUCAUCUGCCUGGAUUUAUUUUUGUAUCUCUGUUUGCUCUUUUGGUGAAUCGUUUUGAACCUGAAACUGGUAGAGGACGAUGGUCUCGGGGGAGUGCUGAUCAUCUGAGUCUUGAUCUUGAGAGCUGUAUAUUGCUGUACAAAUACAAAAACACACGUUCUACAUCUAUGGGCCCCACCAGGACAUGGUGGUGUUGUUCGAUCCGCACAUCUGAUUGGAGCAUUGCCAUUCCGGUGGCCCAAUUUGGGUGUCAAACCAGGACCUGAAGAUGACUCUGCACUGCUUGUCGGCCGCUAACCGAAGCCAUUGGAGCAACUGCAUCCUGUGGACAAAGUAAAUGCAACAUACUCUAUGGCAGUUUGGGAACCCAGGCAGGAAACCGACUUCUGGCACUGACCACAUGCCUUUACUGUCAACAGUCUGCUGUACUCUUGUGCUCUUGUGCAGUCUGUGGGCACAUGCAGGUCAUGGUGGACUGGGAGGGAUAUGGCUAGGUUUAUGGUCAAGAUGUGGGGACAGCCAUGAUACAACACCCCUGGAGCAGAUGGACCUUGCUCAAGAGCCCAACAUUGACAGCAUGGCAGUGCAAACCCAGGAAAAGACAAUGAUACCAUGAAUUGGGAUGAAGAGGGGUUUUUGGUUAUUAAACUAUAUUAAAGUUAAAUUAUCACAAAAGGGUAGCAUGUUGCAGUGGGCAGUGUUGCUAUCUCACAGAUCCAGGGCACUCUCUGUCAGCUCUAUAGUGUCUAUUUGGAUGUUUUUCCAUGGCUGUGUUUUAUCUCCAACUGUCCAAAAAUGUGUGUUUUAUUGUUUUAUUUGCAGGGCUUCCUGAGAUGUCUGGACAUUUCACCUGCAUUGUUCCCUGGAACAGUUCAUGUUAAUUAGUAAAGCAGAAUGAAUUAUUGCAUAGAAAAAACAUAAAUCAAUACAAAAUACUAAAGACUUGGAGAAAUUAAUCAUGUUUAGCCCCGUAUCUCCUUUAAAACGUAUUACACCCCUCUUUUGAUUUUCAAACCUGACCCAUGUAGCUUCCCAUACUUUUGUUUCUUAGGUCUUGAUUAUUUUUUAUUUAUUCAUUGAAUAGCUUUUAAAUUUUGAGCAUGUGAUCUGGCUUUCACUGUGUUUUAUUGAUUAGAUUGUGUGACUGUAGGAAGCCCAGUCGGUAACCCCAGUGACUCACGCAUUCAUCAAACCCAUCACAUUGUAACCUGUCCUUCAGGAUCCAUUUACACAUUUAUAGUCAUUGUGGAUAACUAUAGUGACAUGGUGGAUAAAUAAAUGGCAGGAUUGCUGUAUGUGAUUUCAUAAUAAUACACA